GAAGGCAUCGCGGUAAUUAAUAUCUCCUAGCAUCAUGCUGAAGGUCUGGAUUAUAGAAAGCAAUGGAGAGCUGAAAGCAUCCUGAGAAAAGAUGGCAUUACUUCACACAAAGGAGGAGAGAAAAAUCUUCCCAGUAUCAAAGAAAGUGCUACCAAAGCUUGAUAAAUGGAUCUGAGAGGUUAUAAAUCAUCCCUCAUGCCAGAGGACACGAAAUGACAGUAGGAUAGGAAGAAAGCAUACCUUUUGUUCUUGAUGGUUGUAAGAACCACGUCCUUCCUCUUAUUGUGAAUUGCAACAUGCAAAAAGGAGGCCUGCUGCUUGUUCAGGACGAUGUCAGCAUCAUAACUCAAAAGAAGUGCGACGGCUUUGGCAUGGCCUUCCCUUGCAGCAAAGUGCAGUGCAGUGUUCUUUCAGAGAGAACAGGACACAGAAAAUCCAGUGAAAAUGGCUAGUCAUCCUUUGGCUAUCGUACUGCUUUCAUCUUUGAACUGCUUAAAAUAAAUUAUUGACAAACCCAA